GGGUCGUGUGGUCGGACUUGAACGCGCCCUCCUCCAGUGAGUGCGACUGGAUGCCGCUGCCGGCGUUCAGCGUGCAGUCGUCGCCGACCGC
rnacentral:tRNA from 1 species